UCUUAAUCUUCAUCUGCUACUUCCCAGUUUUGUUGCUGUUUUAUUGAUUCUUCUGCUAUUGUUCUUCUACCAUGAAUCCCGAAUCAAGAAAAAUUAGUGCUCUUCGAAUUACACAAAGGCCCAAUUGUUCUUCAAGUGAAAAUCAAGAAACGCAAAAGAAGAAACCCAGUAUCGAUAAUGAACCUCAAAACAAGGAAUCUCACAAGAGGAAGACUUCGCACAGUAAAGAAGUAAGAAAUACCCUACUGUCUCUAAACAAUAUUGUUGCCUCUAUUUUUUAUCUUCUUUAUUUUCGCAGGCUUGUGAUGUUGAAAUAGUUGAUCGUAAAAAACAGAAAGUUAAAAAGUCUAGCAAACCCGUACCUCUCUCUUCAAAUCUUUCUAUUUUAAAUUUUACUGCUGUAGAUGUUGUUCUUGUAUCCACAGUUCAACCUUCGCACACUGAUCCUCCUACUACUCCAACAAUAAGUCAAACUCCUGAGAAAGAUGUUUUUGUUACUCAUACAUUUUCCCAAGGUUUUGAGAAGAAUGUUCCUGCUGCUCCUUCACCAAAAAAUCCUCUUAUGGAUGAGAAUGCUUAUAUUUCGUAUGAUGAGCUUUUUAAAAAUACGUCCCUGUUGCCUCUGCGAAUCCAUCGCAUAUACGUUUUCCUUCACCCCUUGUUGCCUCUGCGAAUCCAUUGCAUAUAAUAUUUCCACAUCUCUCUAAAUGUUUUGGAAUCUCAUCGUCGUAUGAUGUUAGCUGAAAAGCAUUUUUUGUCUAGUUGUUCUCAAUUGGAACUCCCGCAGAAAAAUAUUUCUUUGGAAAAGGAAAUACAAAGAUUAAGAUGGGAACUUCAUAUUUCAAAUUAUGAGACUGAAAAUCUUCGCAGCGAUAAUCAGAAACUUAGAGAUUCUGAAGCAUCGCAUCAAUCUGUUGUCGCUCAACUGAAUUCUAAGUUAUCCAAAGUUCGCAAAGAAUAUGGUAAUCUGGAAUUAUCUCGUGGUAAUCUUGAGCUUUCUCUUUCUGCGUCUCGAAAUAGAGCACAAAGAAGGUUUGCGUUCCAGAAGAAUUUUCUAGAGAUAAAUGCUAGAAAUCUUGAAAGGGCUGUUAUUCGCAAAGGCCACUCUAGUGCUCAAACUGUUAUUGAUGGAAUUCUUUCUAGCAAUUCUCUUCCAGCAGUAAGGCUCCCCGCAUGCAAUGUGGGUGAAGAUGAAGAAUAUCUGAACCAGAUAGUGAUUUUGACUUUUUAAGCAAUGAUGAGAAGGAUCAAGGUGAUGAGAAAAUUCAGCAAGAAGGAGAGAAAUCUACAAAUGAUGCCGGUAUUGAGAUUGAAAAUCCUUACCCCGGCUCUAAAGUCUGAUGUUACCAUUUGAUCAUUCUUGAUUUUUUCUUUCUUUUUAUUUUGAUGUUUUUUUGGUCUUUCGCACCCCCUUUAGACUUGUUUGUUGUAAGGAAUAUGAUACAUUGUUAUUUUAUUUCCCAUA